rnacentral:rRNA from 1 species
GAGUUUGAUCUUGGCUCAGAUUGAACGCUGGCGGCAUGCCUUACACAUGCAAGUCGAACGGUAACAGGUCUUCGGAUGCUGACGAGUGGCGAACGGGUGAGUAAUACAUCGGAACGUGCCCGAUCGUGGGGGGAUAACGGAGCGAAAGCUUUGCUAAUACCGCAUACGAUCUACGGAUGAAAGCAGGGACCGCAAGGCCUUGCGCGGACGGAGCGGCCGAUGGCAGAUUAGGUAGUUGGUGGGAUAAAAGCUUACCAAGCCGACGAUCUGUAGCUGGUCUGAGAGGACGACCAGCCACACUGGGACUGAGACACGGCCCAGACUCCUACGGGAGGCAGCAGUGGGGAAUUUUGGACAAUGGGCGAAAGCCUGAUCCAGCCAUGCCGCGUGCAGGAUGAAGGCCU